CAGAAUCAAGAUGACUAGUGAUGGCCGGGAGUGCAAUGGAUGACCUUGGCAUCUUUGAUGUCUCACCAGGCCCUAAACACUCUGCUGCACUUGUUUCAGUGGUCUUCAUGGACAGCGGAACAAAUAGUUUUCGGCUGCUCAUUCUGCUGGGAGAAGUCUUCACAUGCUUGAGGCAAUUGGGGUUAAGUGACUUGCUCAGGAUCCUACAGCCAGUAAGUGGUCUUCCUAACGAAAGGCCACCUAGCUGCACUAUGGUCACUCAGACUUAAAACUUGUCAGCCACCUUCAACAUUUCCUCUCCAUCAUCUCUACCUGUGUAGGUCAGUAAAUAUUUAUUAGGGAGAAAGGAAAUAAACAUCUAUUAAGCAUC